GGGCUCUAAGAAGUCCUCCGCUGCCAAGCCUUUGCAGCGGAUGCUUCUGGGAUCACGAGUGUGUCUACCAAGCACAGAGUCGCUGGCGAGGAGCGGGAAAGUUCAUUCUUAAACUGAAAGAGCAGGUGGUGCGAGAGGACAAAAAGAAAGUAAUUUCCUUCGCCAGUGAGCUCAAGAAGUUGACCAGUCGGAGCCGCAGCAUGACGACUGGCAACGGUGUGGACUGUCCUGCCCAGAGUAAGGAUGAUAGAGCUGCAUGCUGUGUGGCUCUGACAGAGCUCCAGGAGUGAGGCUCACACUCUGCCUGCUGUCUGUGCAUGGAAAGGCAACAGAGGGUAUCUGUCUGCAGCUGCAGGUCUGAGGGCGUGGCUGGCAGAGGGCAGGGUGGGGGCAGGACGGUUCCUACGGGCCUCCUCCUCCUCCUCCUCCUCCUCUUCCUCUUCUUCCUCCUUCAAUGGGCCACUCCAACCUGUCCAUCUGCCCACCUCCUCUCUGACCCCCCUCGCCUGGAAGCUUCACCUCCUCAGGAACUGGAAGAUCCACAAAUGAAAUCCAGAGAGGGAGACAUGGCGCUGACUACUUCAGAGGAUCCCCCCGCCUCCCCACCCCUUUGCAAGAGAGGCAAGGUGUUUCAGUGAGGGUCUGGCACAUUGCGGAAUUGUGGGAAACGCUCCUCUCUAAGUCCCAAAGGAGUCCUUCCUGAUCCUUCCUUGAUAGUUGAGCAAGUGGAGGACAGGAUUAAGUCCAAGCCCCUGUUAACGGGUUAGGUGACAGGUGUUCAGCUGCUGUGCUUGGCUGAAUGACAGACAGGAGUUUCUGAUUGGAAAUCCCUCCUAGAGUCACUUGGGAGCAGUGAUGGUCUUGUAGGGAGCCACAGCUCGUCCUGGUUUAUUGUUUGUAGUGAGGCUCCAUAGAGAGUCCACAGUACCAAGGGGCAGCUGCUGUUAUUGAAGUCAUCAGGUACGUGAUCAGGGAUGUAAAAAAAGCAGUAAAGUAUUCCCUCUUUUGCCAAUGAAUGAGAGGAAUUUGUCACAAAAAAAGAGUACUUCCCCGAGUCAUAUUAACAGGUUAAAGAAGUCUGGGUUUGCUUUCAGAUGUGCCAGUAGUUUAUCUCCAAAAAAUCAGGUCUAGAAAAUGGCUUCUAGAUUGAAUGAGAAGUCCUCAAAAAGCUGAUUCAAGGAAAGUCCAAAUAUGGCUCCACAGGAGAUUAAAUGGCCUGUGUACCUGCACAGGCAAUUGGAUGAAUAUAACCUGUAUUUGGUUUAAAGGUUUUAUUUUCAUAGCAACAGAGAGCACAGAUGGAGGGAGAUCUGCUGAGAAAAAAUGGAAAGAAAGAUGUAGGGGAGUGUGAGGGCCAAAGGGGUGGAACAGUAUUCUUCUCUCCUUUUCAGGUAUGGACUCUUUUGGCUGAGGGCAUUGUGAAGGAGGCUGACAAGCUGGCUUGUAUGAUUCUUUUCUUACUGUUCCACUUUCACAGUACUGUAAAGGCUCAUUUUUGGGGCAGUGCAGAUUUACAUAGCUAGCAGGAAGAGGCAACACAGUGAGACAACGUAUUUAGAUGUUUCCAACCCAAUCAGAUAUUUCUGUAAUAGAAGCAGCAAUGCUUCAGACAAUUUCCUUCAAAGUGACAAUAAUUAGCAACAUUUUAAAGCCGUAUAAAUUGGAACAACCUCUUAUCACUGUUGUCCUUUUAUGUUGCCUUAAAAUGUUGCAACACUGCCUUUAACUUUUGGUAACUUUGUAGCUGUAUCUCUGACAGUGAUCUUCAGUGGGUUCCUCAAGGGAUUUUAGUGCCAUCAUCAUUAUCCACAAACAGGCAUCUUAUCUUGCCACCCACGCAAUUAAAUAAAUAAAUGGAUUGAUCUAUACAUUCAAAAAUAUCAAAAUUAUUUAUUUAAAAUGUAUGAAUUAAAUUUAUUUAAUUAUUUCAUAUUCUUGUUGAUUCUUCUUGUUGCUGCCUGUAACUAGGGCUGUGAAGCAUUUUGAAAGUAGUAUUGGCACCAUUUCCAUAAUUAAAAAACUGAUUUAACACUAGCGGCCAUACAAGAGCUCUACCUACAUACAAUACAGUCUAAAAUGGAUUUAAAUCCAAAAUUAUGUAAUUAAAAUUACAAAUCUUCUCUCAUAUUCUACUCCAUGUAGAGGUUCAAUACUUAAGUAUUUCCAUCAGUUUAAUCCCUCAUUUGAAUGGAACAAUGAUGAUUCAAGGCUCAUUUCCCUUUGAGAAACACAGCUUCAUCUUCUGCAAACAGCAUUUUGCACAUUUUAUUUUCCUUUCGCUGUUAUCUUCAGAGUUUUUGUUUUACUAAUUAGUGAUAAAAACAUGAUUGUUGUCACGAGACGGUCAAAUGAUUUUUGUUUUUAUUCUGAUCACAGUAUUUAUUACUAUUAAUUUUGGGCCAGUUGUGAAUUUAUGUCUGAGGAAAGGACAAGAAAUAUUCAGACUGUUUUUUGUAUGUAUGUAAGUAGUCUGAGCGCAAACUUGAAAUUCCUCACACAAAAUUAUUAAUUAAUUAUUAAUCAGAAUGAUUUCCAUUUAAUUUUACUCUGUUGGCCUCAAUUUACUGUCCUUGAUUUUGAUUGCAUUAUCUUCAUAGAUUAUUAGUAUUGAUUGGCUGUCAGUGACAAUGAUUGUAGAGUUUAUUUCUAUUUACAGCUCAUUUCAAUUUUCUUUCAGAAUCUUGUAAAACUUGAUUCAUUUGGGGCCACUUUUCCCCUUCUUCUGUUUUUAUAUGUAACAUUUCCAGAUAAUAAAAAUUUUGAUUUUUUUUUUUUUUUUGUUUUGUUUUUGUUUUUUUUUUUUUUGUUUUUAGAGUUUUUAGAGACUUCUUCCCUAAUUAUUUUUCUGGCAUUUUAGUUCAGUUCCCCCUUGUGUAGUUAUGCUGAUAACACAUGUAAAAUAUACAUUAAAUUGUUCUAAGUCAACUUUUCACAUUUACAGAGCACACCGCUGCUUUUACUUAGCAUGAUAAAGACAUUUUUCUUUAACAUUAACCCUGAGAAAAAACUGUUUUGUGAGUUGUUUAACUGAAGUAGUUCUGAACCCAUCCAGUGCUGGGUUAAGAAUAUAUUAUGCUGUUACUGUUAAGUCAGUUUGCCUUUUUUUAACCCACAUUCCAACAAUAUUUGACAGAAAUUAUGCAUUCAUAGCAGCUUUUUAAACCCCACAAACAUUAAACAGUUUCUGUAAAAAAAAUAAGGAAAGUACUAUUUUAUUCAAAAUGUUGGCCUUUUAUUUUAUAGACAGUUUUCGCAAAUUUGGCCUCACCCCACGAAAAGAAUCUGACUUUCUGUCCUUUUGCUUUCAUUUCUCGUUAAGUAAAACUUUGCUCAGUGGCAAGUAAUGUUUGAAUUUUAGUGCAAUAGUGAAGUUCUGUCACUUCAAACUCUAGGUUUUAUUGUCUAGAAAUUACUGACGUUUUAACUCUAAUUCCUUAUUCCUGACCUUAACUCGUUCUUUAAAUGAGUCAAAAUUGACAUAAUUCACGCACAAAGAUGAUCUUUUGUUAGUCGUAAGGCAACAGGACGAUCCCUAAACCAAACUGUAAUUAAGGUAGAUUAGAUUGUGAUCCCAGAAACCACAGCUCUGUUAAUGUUAAUUAAGAUUUUUGGUAUUACAGAUGAAAUGUGCAGAAAUGUCAUUAUGCACAGCAAGAACAUCACAUUUUAGAAACUGGUGAUUACUUACAACUACCGUGCUGGAUAACCAUGAUAUUAACUGAAGUCCAUACAGACUUUUAACAGGAAGGGACAGUAUCUGUUGAAUUGUACAUUUAUGAUCCCUCUGCUUCAUCACAUCAUCACAUUUUGUUUUCCUUCUUUCUAACCUGUAGACCUCAUUUCUGAAUGUAACAUUUCUUAAUGUGUUGAACCUGAGACAAAUGUGUGUUUGGAUGUUAUUUAUUUUAAUGUGAAGCCCUGGUUGGCAUGUAUCUGUUGUUGUUGUUUAUGUAUAAUUUCCUGUAAGUAGUUUUAAGUGUUUUUUAAUUUAUUUCAAUAGGAGAGGAUAAACUCUCUACUGCCCUAACUUUACUCAAUCGUAUUUAGAUUUGUAAAGAAAUAUUUUACUUUAUGUGUAAAAUAUUCAGUAUAGUAUUCAUAUUUCUGGCAUGUUAUUCUGCAGUACACAGCAGCAUCUUUUAAUGCCUUUUAUUUUGUGGACUAUGUGAACAAAAGCUGGCAUUUUUUUUCUUUUUUUUUUUUGAUGAUUUUGGUGUAUUUGUUAUAUCCACUGAAUAUGACGUAUGUGUUUGCUGACUGUGGGCUAUGUUUCAUCUUUAGCACUCUGUUGUUUCCAUAAGAUGUGCAGUAUACCCUUUAACAUCCACUAUCCCUGUUAUGAUGUGGCUGUCAAGUGAACAUUUGUCUAUUUACUUGAAUUUUUAAAUGGAUGAUAAAUUGGUGGAUUUGUUAUAUACCAGGAUCACAAUAAAACUACAAAUACUUAA